AAACCAGCCAAUUAAUCUACUUAUCUGAAUGUUUCUGCAGAAAUUUUUUAAAAAGCUGGCAAUAGUGAUGCCAUUUUAUGAACCUUAAGGACAAGUUAGGUCAUUAUAGUCUCUGAGAAUGGCUACAACA
ensembl:snoRNA